rnacentral:rRNA from 1 species
UACGGCAGGAGGAAACAAUCCCUCUCGUCCAAGAGGAAACAUGGCGUGGCGAGCCUCAAAACCGUCACGAAGCGUGAACUCUUGGCGAAAAGGAGCACUUUCGUGUCCGCUGGUUAACAUCAAUUUCGAACGUCAUAAAAAGGCUGGAGGGAUGUGGCUCCUUCGGGAGUGUUAUAACCUUUAGCGGAAUGUGGUGGUCGGGAUUGAGGAUUGCAACGAAUACCUUUAGGGCUGUUCCACCUGGCUUCUCUUUGGCAUCCUGGUGACGACAGCUUGCUGACGUUGUUAGGAAUCGCCUUUGAACAGGCUAGAGUGUGAGCAAAUUCGUUAAGGGGAUUGACGUAAAUAUGUUCUCGCUCUCUCAACUGUGUAAGUAUGGUUCGCUGCGGAAAUUUUAAAAACUUUAUUUG